rnacentral:rRNA from 1 species
GACGAACGCUGGCGGCGUGCCUAACACAUGCAAGUCGAGCGGAGAUACCUAGUAGUUUACUACGAAGUAUCUUAGCGGCGGACGGGUGAGUAACGCGUGGGCAACCUGCCUUACAGAGGGGGAUAACAGUGCGAAAGUACUGCUAAUACCGCAUAACAUUGCGACAUCGCAUGGUGAUGCAAUUAAAGGAGAAAUCCGCUGUAAGAUGGGCCCGCGUCUGAUUAGCUAGUUGGAGAGGUAAAAGCUCACCAAGGCGACGAUCAGUAGCCGAUCUGAGAGGAUGAACGGCCACACUGGAACUGAGACACGGUCCAGACUCCUACGGGAGGCAGCAGUGGGGAAUAUUGCACAAUGGGGGAAACCCUGAUGCAGCAACGCCGCGUGGAGGAUGAAGGUCUUCGGAUUGUAAACUCCUGUCUUUUGGGACGAAUAAAUGACGGUACCAAAGGAGGAAGCCACGGCUAACUACGUGCCAGCAGCCGCGGUAAUACGUAGGUGGCAAGCGUUGUCCGGAAUUAUUGGGCGUAAAGGGCGCGUAGGCGGCUUUUUAAGUCAGAUGUGAAAUCCCCAGGCUUAACCUGGGAAUAGCAUCUGAUACUGGGAAGCUAGAGUGCAGGAGAGGUAAGUGGAAUUCCUAGUGUAGCGGUGAAAUGCGUAGAUAUAAGAAGACACCAGUGGCGAAGCGACUACUGACUGUACUGACGCUGAGCGCGAAAGCGUGGGGAGCAAACAGGAUUAGAUACCCUGGUAGUCCACGCUGUAAACGAUGGAUACUAGGUGUGGGAGGUAUCGACCCCUUCCGUGCCGCAGUAAACGCAAUAAGUAUCCCGCCUGGGGA